AUUAUACUUCAGCUUUGUUAGUAAGAACUCAUAACUAUUUUUAUUUUUAAAUUUAAAUACUCAAAAUACUCUUUCAUCACUUAUACUACUAAAUCUCGUAUUUUUUCUUUUCAUCACUCAACCUCAUAUCUCACCCAAUGUCUCAACCCCAUAUCUCUCACUCUUUAUGAAAAUUUGAAGAAAAAAGAAGUAGGUACAAGGUUGAAGUUGCAUGCACAAAUGUUUCUCAUUAAGAUAUGUAAAUUAACUGAGUUGGAUUUGAUGUUUGCGUUUAUUUUUAAUUUUUAAAAAAUCAUAUGUGAAUAGAGUUUACAUACUCUAAAAAAUUUGAUUUUACAAAAAACUAUUUUACAUAAACAUACGCAAAUUAAGUUUAUGUGCGACAUGUAAUGUAAAAAUUUACAAGCACUAGGCUAAUACAGUUUAUGUAAACAUUUGUAACUAAAAUCACGUAUCUAUGCAUGAUUUUUCAUUUGUACACUAAUACACUUUACAUUUACCACCAAUAUGAUGUUUGAUAUACAAGAUGGUUUAUUGUGAUGAAUUAGAAAUAUUGAAAGGAAAAAUAAAAUUGGUAUUGUCAUCUUUAGG
rnacentral:lncRNA from 1 species